rnacentral:rRNA from 1 species
CCUACGGGAGGCAGCAGUGGGGAAUUUUCCGCAAUGGGCGAAAGCCUGACGGAGCAAUACCGCGUGAGGGAUGACGGCCUAUGGGUUGUAAACCUCUUUUUUCAGGGAGGAAUCAAUGACGUGUACCUGAAGAAUAAGCAUCGGCUAACUCCGUGCCAGCAGCCGCGGUAAUAAGCC